CUCCCUCCCUGCACCCACCCGCCCUACUCAGGGUGGUGAGAGCGGAGGGGCGCUGGGGCUUCAUCCACACGUCUCCUGAUCACCCUCUUGACCAAGAGCAUCCUCUGGAUUUUACAUUCACUUGGCAACAAAAAAACUUUGAGAGAGAACUUUGAACAUCAAAAAUUCUUAAUUUGUUAUGUCACAAACACAAAGCGUUCUCCUAGGAGGUUUCUGGUACAGACCAUGUUUCCUGAGGACCUGGAGGGUAUCGCGCCUACAGCCAGCAAUGCCGUGCGGCACGCUCGGAGCACACCCAAGAGGGCAGAUCAGAGGGGCGCACGCGGAUCCCCAAACUCCCGAAGAUGUGUACGAACUAAUGGGAGCCCUCUACAAUGCGCUGUGCCUGGGGAGAGGAAGGGGGCGCAGAUGCAUCUGUGGCUGCGGUUGUGGUCGGGAGAAUGAGGGCCUGGAGCUGCCCAGGACGGGCUCAGGCACAGGCGCCCAGCCGAGAGUCCCCUGCAGUUCCCUCUGCACAGCAAAGAGUUUCUGCUGAAAAGAAUGUGGCAGAUGAAUAAAAACUCUAAGGUUUUCUAAA